ensembl:lncRNA
GGUAUUUAUGUGUUUUAUUUAAGGUUUUUACUUAACAUGACAGUCAUAAAAAUGAUUUAAUUUGUCUUCCAUUUAAUGUUUAAGCUGAGAAGACGACUGGAGCACCUGAAGCGAGAGUACGAGAGGACAGCACAGACUGCAGGUAAAAACAUGCUGUAUUUGUGGUUAUGCAAGAAUUUAUUUUCAAACUGAUGUUAACAUUGUUAGACUGAAUUGAUUUCUGCAGUAUAACAGUGCUCGAAUUGUCAAAUAAUUGAACCUGUAAUGAAUAUAAUUGAACCCAUUUAUAAAUGUCUGUUUGAUUUUCACUUAAAGAGUGGAGGAUCAUGAUGCCAUUCGCAGGCGUGUGCAGAACCUCUCUGACCAGAACAGACGUACACAGAUUGACUUACCACACACAUCUGAGACUUCUUCAGUGGCGACAUCAGAAUAUUCAGAAAACCAUCAGAAUCUGCAGUUACAAACCAGUAAGGCUAACUUCAGUCUGACAUUAUAAAGAGAUAAAAACAGAACAGAAACAGUUCUAAUGUAAAUGUUGAAGAGAGUUAAAAUUGAAAAAAAGUUAAACACAUAAUAAAGCUUAUUCAGAUGGUAAAGAAUUCUAAAUACUAAUAAACUGUGGUUUUUCUUUGACUGUUGCAGGUAUAGUUGCAGAAAGAAACAGCUCUGGUUUUUCCGCUGUACAAGGAUCCCCUGCAUCCAAUUGGAACUUGCUGAGAUUAUGUCCAAACUGCCGUUCUCUCCGGUGUUCAAAUGAAGCCUCGCUCCCUGCCUACAUUCUAAGCGCAGUCGACUGCGCCUACGGAACAAAGAGUGAGAAUCAGAUACUGACAUCAGCCAAGAAAGAGAUGGAAAUAGAGACAAUAUUUGUGAAAAGGUGGACACUGAAAUAAAGGAGGGCAGUGGAUGUACUGGUAAAGAGAAUAGUCUGAAAAGAAUGAGAAAAUAUGGUAAGAUGGAAGAGAAGGACUAUGAAAAGAAAAAAGAAAGAGAAAAUGAGAGGAUUCCACGUGAGAUGGAGAAGAUCCAAGAUAGACUAGUAGGAAUAAGAACAGCUGGUAAAACUGCUAAGCCAUCACAAGAACUAGAGAAUGAUGGGAAACGAGAGGGAAUUUGUGAAUUGAACUGCUCUGUGAGCCAAUCAGAUAACAAACUGCCAAUGGUUUCAAUUGAAGAAAAGCAUUUAGAAAUUCAGAACGUUCACUGUAGCCAGGAAAAAGUUAAUGUUGUGGAGAAAUUACACUCAGAUCCAGCUGUGUCUAUCCAAACCUCAUCUCUCCCUCAGUUAACUGAGGCAGUACAUAUUACUGACAAAUCAGAAGAGAUGCUUAAACAAACUAACUCAGAUAAGGGAUAUGAUGACAGGACAGACAUUAAACAAUCCUCAUUUACAUCUGGCGUUCUGGACUCUUGCACACUGGUUGAGGGUUUACCAUUUCCAGUGGAGUAUUAUAUUUGGACUACAAGGCACAUGGCUGCAUCUCACAGUCCUGUUAAUCUAGAUGCUGUCAUUUACAGCCAGCUCACUGGGGGGCGGGGCAGACGCAGGCUUAGCCAAUCGCAAACAAGUGGUAGAGGUCACAUAACCCCAGAGCAUCCAGUCUGCAGGUCAAUCAAUCAGACCAGAUGUGGAGGAAAAGGUCAGAAAGGGAGGAGAGGCCAUCGAAGAAGCGCUGUAGGUAGGGCUUCAUGCGGCAAAGCUGCCCUUGAUUGUACAAUAUCACAUCCUGCAAGUGAUUCUCAAGCAGUUUUGGAGUCUGUUAUGGAAUCAAAGUCCACGUCUCAAACUGAAUCACCCAGCCAAUCAGAAUUGGACCUUGAAAGGCUAGAGGCAGAGUAUCAGCCAGUCCAGUCUCCUGGGCCUUCAGUGAGUUUAAAGCCAAGUCCAGAGCAAGGAGUUACUCAAGAUUUUAAGCAUCUCCCAGACUCUCAGCUUUACUUUGAUUCCCAACCCCUCUCAGAUUCAAAUUUGUACCCUAUUUUCAGAAGAAAACAUGGCCAAACUGGAAGAGAGUCUGAGACAAGUACAAAUAAAGAUGAUCAUUCACUUCUUCUGCCAUCAUUAGCUUCACUCAUUCAAGCUCUUCAACAAAAACUGGACUGCUGGCUGCUAUUGAUUUCCAGGACUUCCAACUACCUGAUGAAGAUUUUGGACAACUAA